rnacentral:lncRNA from 1 species
GGUGUGUGUAGUCCGCUGUACUGUCUUACAUUUCUCGAAAUGUUUGUGACAUUUGAUGUUUAUUACAAUCUAUGUUUUAUUACAUAUGUCUUAUAUACUCAUGAUAAAACAUUAAUCCAUAAACUAAGAAAAGAAAUUUCAAAUUAGUAAGAACAAAAUAAAUGCAGACUAAAAUUGCACAUUGCAUACCCAAUUCAUUCAUUAAUUUUGUUU